rnacentral:rRNA from 1 species
AUUGAACGCUGGCGGCAGGCUUAACACAUGCAAGUCGAGCGGAGAGAGGUAGCUUGCUACUGAUCUUAGCGGCGGACGGGUGAGUAAUGCUUAGGAAUCUGCCUAUUAGUGGGGGACAACAUUUCGAAAGGAAUGCUAAUACCGCAUACGUCCUACGGGAGAAAGCAGGGGAUCUUCGGUCCUUGCGCUAAUAGAUGAGCCUAAGUCGGAUUAGCUAGUUGGUGGGGUAAAGGCCUGCCAAGGCGACGAUUUGUAGCGGGUCUGAGAGGAUGAUCCGCCACACUGGGACUGAGACACGGCCCAGACUCCUACGGGAGGCAGCAGUAGGGAAUAUUGGACAAUGGGCGGAAGCCUGAUCCAGCCAUGCCGCGUGUGUGAAGAAGGCCUUAUGGUUGUAAAGCACUUUAAGCGAGGAGGAGGCUACUUUAGUUAAUACCUAGAGAUAGUGGACGUUACUCGCAGAAUAAGCACCGGCUAACUCUGUGCCAGCCGCCGCCGUAACAC